CCCCUAGUAGCGGCGAGCGAAGCGGGAAGAGCUCAAAUUUAUAAUCUGGCACCUUCGGUGUCCGAGUUGUAAUCUCUAGAAAUGUUUUCCGCGUUGGACCGCACACAAGUCUGUUGGAAUACAGCGGCAUAGUGGUGAGACCCCCGUAUAUGGUGCGGACGCCCAGCGCUUUGUGAUACAUUUUCGAAGAGUCGAGUUGUUUGGGAAUGCAGCUCAAAUUGGGUGGUAAAUUCCAUCUAAAGCUAAAUAUUGGCGAGAGACCGAUAGCGAACAAGUACCGUGAGGGAAAGAUGAAAAGCACUUUGGAAAGAGAGUUAACAGUACGUGAAAUUGUUGGAAGGGAAACGCUUGAAGUCAGACUUGCUUGCCGAGCAAUCGGUUUGCAGGCCAGCAUCAGUUUUCCGGGAUGGAUAAUGGUAGAGAGAAGGUAGCAGUUUCGGCUGUGUUAUAGCUCUCUGCUGGAUACAUCUUGGGGGACUGAGGAACGCAGUGUGCCUUUGGCGGGGGUUUCGACCUCUUCACACUUAGGAUGCUGGUGGAAUGGCUUUAAACGACCCGUCUUGAAACACGGACC
rnacentral:rRNA from 1 species